CGGAAAACUGGGGAUAAUACUCUAUAGACGAUGGAGGCUGGAAUGCUCUGAAGCCGAAAGGUCCGCCGCCGUAGGAUGGGUCUGCGGCCGAUUAGGUUGUUGUUGGGGUAACGGCCCAACAAGCCUGUAAUCGGUACGGGUUGUGGGAGCAAGAGCCCGGAGAUGGAUUCUGAGACACGAAGCCAGGCCCUACGGGGCGCAGCAGGCGCGAAAACUUUACAAUGCGGGAAACCGUGAUAAGGGAACUCUGCGUGCCCGUUAAAUCGGGCUGUCCAUCAGUUUAAAAAACUGGUGAAGAAAGGGCCGGGCAAGACCGGUGCCAGCCGCCGCGGUAAUA
rnacentral:rRNA from 1 species